UACGUAGGGACCAAGCGUUGUCCGGAAUCAUUGGGCGUAAAGAGCGUGUAGGCGGAUUUGUUAGUCAGGGGUGAAAUCCCGGGGCUCAACCUCGGAACUGCCUUUGAUACUGCAAAUCUCGAGUCCGGAAGAGGUGGGUGGAAUUCCUAGUGUAGAGGUGAAAUUCGUAGAUAUUAGGAAGAACACCGGUGGCGAAGGCGGCCCACUGGUCCGGUACUGACGCUGAGGUGCGAAAGCGUGGGGAGCAAACAGG
rnacentral:rRNA from 1 species